UGGGGAAUAUUGGACAAUGGGGGAAACCCUGAUCCAGCGACGCCGCGUGAGUGAAGAAGUAUUUCGGUAUGUAAAGCUCUAUCAGCAAGGAAGAAAAUGACGGUACUUGACUAAGAAGCCCCGGCUAACUACGUGCCAGCAGCCGCGGUAAUACGUAGGGGGCAAGCGUUAUCCGGAUUUACUGGGUGUAAAGGGCGCGUAGGCGGGGAUACAAGUCAGGUGUGAAAUCUAUGGGCUUAACCCAUAAACUGCACUUGAAACUGUAUCUCUUGAGUGUCGGAGAGGUAGACGGAAUUCCUAGUGUAGCGGUGAAAUGCGUAGAUAUUAGGAGGAACACCAGUGGCGAAAGGCGGUCUACUGGACGAUAACUGACGCUGAGGCGCGAAAGCGUGGGGAGCAAACAGGAUUAGAUACCCUGGUAGU
rnacentral:rRNA from 1 species